GGUAUGUUUUAAAUAUGCUACUAUUUUAUGGUAUAUUUAUUGAUUGGUGUUUGGUUCAAAUGUGCUCCUUAAACGAUGACAAUGUUAAUGUUUCAUGUUAGAAUUAUUGGGGUCCUGUUUAUGAUUACUGUUGCUUUGUGCAUGCUGUAUGUUUGUUGCUCUCUUUAAAAGAGUAUGUAUAAUGCAUGUUUAAUUUGCGGGUUUUCCGCUCUCUUUUAAGGAGCGUGCAGGAUGAGUGAUAUGUCGUGGCAGCUAUUUCUUUAUUGACUGGCCUUUAUUCGGCCAGGAUUCACAGUUGUGUUACUUCAAACCAGUGCCGUGGUUUUAGUUUGGUUGUUCACUUAGCGAAGUUUACGCAAACUUUUAAGACGGAUGUUUCUUCAUAUAAUGGACUGCACUCUGAACUUUAGGAUCUAAUGACUUAUGGAUUGGUACCAACCUGCUGCUACAAAAUGUUUUGAAUUGCUGCUUUUUGAAAACACCAACGUUUUUAAUCUUCAAAUUUAUUUAUCUAUACUAAGCAUUUAAUAAUAAAGCUGUUACCUUGUAA